AACAUUGGGUUAGAACAGACGUUGAGGGGACAAUAGUGGAUGCUAAUAAUGCUUCGAGCAACAAAGAAUAGUUGAGGUUAGUAGCAAUAUGUUCUUGUGUUUCCUUAUUCAAUUUGCAAGAUGUGUUUUUACCUCUAAUAUAAUUUUUGUUCAAUCUUUCUAUUCUUCAAUUAUGUUUUGUGCAUUAUUUCUUUUAUGUUGGGUUGACACUUUCUUAUCAGAUAUGAAAUUUAGUGAUAAAAGUAGCACAAAAUCUCUCUUCUAUUUUCUUGUUCGUGUUUUGAAUUAUUUUGGCUGCAUGCUACAGGUUCAGACUGCAUGCUACAUGGAGGCAUGGAGGGGGUGGUCGGCUGUGCACUUUGUGUUGGUACAAAACUGCCUACUCUUUUCUGCUUGCUGGCUUUCUGCUGACUACUUGACCAACUUGCUUGGUGAUAUACUGCUGUGUGAGACCAUGUGUUGGUCAAAACUUAGUAUACUCUUAUAUUCAUGCUUGGUAAUUCGGUCAGCUGCCACACCACGUGCUUGUUUGGAACAUCAUUUUGUACUUUGGUCAACAACAGUUCAGAAUUGAGAUACAUGCAGCUUGUUUGGAACUUUAUUUUGUAUACUUUGGUUAACAGUUCAGAAUUGGCAUACUCUUGCAGUGUUCAAAAAUCCUGUUUUGCAAUCACAUGUUGCCAUUUUUU
rnacentral:lncRNA from 1 species